ensembl:lncRNA
UAGGCUUCCAGUUUUUAUUUCCAAGUUUAGAUAAAAUGAUCUGUAUUUUCAUUUUCUUUUAGAAAGAAAGCAGGCUGGAGAAGCAUCCCAGAAUGGCCAGAAGCUCAUUAUAAGCUUUUUCUCUCAGAUUCAGUCCCAUUCCCAACAUUUUCCAGUUUGUUGAAGCCAAUAUAUUUGUUUUCAGCAAAUGAAUGCUUUAUGAUGACAACCCCUCUCGUGGGGAAGAUGCCUGCUGGUACCUCCUGGGGCUCAGAAGGGAAGCCUGGGAACCAUUGUUGGUUUUGAGUCCAAAACAGUGCAUUCCUGUGGUGGUAAAAUUACUUCUGUUUUAUUCUUUAUGGAUAUCAAAAUACUGAGUUCAGAGCUUCAUUUAAAACAAUAGCAUUUUGUGCAAGUAAAUCAUCUUGCUUAUGUGCAGUCUUUCUACUUACAAAGUCCAUAUUGAUUCUCCUGUCCCACUGAACAGCCCUGCUCUGCCUAAAGACCACUCAGGCCUGCUCAGGAUAGAUGCGAUUUAUCAACAUACUUCUCCAGCCAUAGCUGUAGUGUUUACACACAGUUCAAACAUUCAGAUGUGGCCCCUUCUCCUCAGAUGGAUGAUGUGGAAAUUAUUUUCUGUUCUGAACUAAUUCUUCCUGUUGGCACCUACAGCAUUUUUUGUUCAUGUACUUAUUGAUUGAUUAGUCCGGCCUCAACAGUUCUAUGCGACCCUUCAGUCUUGCUGUUAACCUAUGCCUGUGCCCAUUCCAGACCACAUCAUUCAGUACCACCUCUGCCCUUUCCCUGAGCACCUCCAGGAAUGCUGACCCCACCACCUCCCUGGGCAGCCUGUUCCAAUGCAUCACUUGUGUCUGUACUCAGUGCAGCAGGCUCUGAGCUCUGUGAGAUGCUGCUGUACAAACAGCAUGGGUGUGUUGUCUGUGAUGUAGCUACUUGGGAUUGUUGCAGGACCCCACCAUGAGCAAGACAGCUGCAGGCAUUUUCUCUUGUCCUUUUCUCUUGUCCUUGUGAGAGGCAGGGCAGGUUGUCCCUGGUGUUGCAGCGAGGGGCAGGGACCUCCCUACAGCCCUGGGCUCUGCAGGUGAGCAGGGGAUGAACAUGAGGAACGCUGCAGGCAGACCCUUCCCAGCUGCUCCCUUCCCACCAGGCAGGGCUCCUCAUGGACAGCCUGGGCCCACUCAGCCAUGCAGGCAGCUCCCUGGGCCUGUGCUGCAGCUCUGCUCAGCUUUAUUUUUGUUCUUCUUCCAGUAUUUGCAGUACCCAUUUACUCCUGAGGCAUGCGAGUCUGACUAAUCCUUCAGGGGUGUCUCAGGGGAGGACCAUCCUACAGAAAAGCAUGUCUCCCUGCAGUGUGAACUCCCACCGGGUGCAUCUGGCUCUGGGACAAGGCUCAUGCAGUGCUGGGGAAGACCCAAUAUCGUAUAAUUUAGAUGCUUUCCACUCUUCCUUCCAGAAGUUGGCAAACUGCUUACCUGCCUCUAAAGCAUCCCUGUUGUUGUGACUCUGUGUCCAUCUCAGCCUCCUGUCACCAGCCUGAAAGACUGAGCUUUUUGCUGCAUGCUUCAGCAGUAGCGCCUGCAGAGGUGUAACAGAUGCAGUAAGAAUUGCACCUGCUUCCACUGCUAUCAGAAGUCAAACAGCUGAUUGUUACCUCUCCAGGGGCAUUGGUGAGCUUCAGUCGUUGCUCUCCUAUUUCAAAAUCCCACCUUUAAAAAGAAAAAUAAGACACAAAAAAAUGUGGAGCCUGGAAAGAAGCUCAAACUUUCUGUCCCCAUCUUUCUGCUUUUUUUUCUUCCUGUGGAAUAGCAUGGAAAAGUCACCAUCACUGAGAUCUCAGAUAUCUCAGCAGUGUUACAGUGAGGGCCAGAGGAUGAGUUUGAGUGGGCUUUUGUACUUAAAGUUCUAUUGGAUGAAUGUGGAUCUGGAUGUUUAGCAUCCGGGGGGGUGCAUGGCUGCUUAGGUCAGCCCAGACGCUCGUGGGAGUCAUGGGAGUGAACAACCAGCACUUCAUCUGCAGGACCUGCCCCUGCCCUGCAGGACUGUGCUGGAGCCCCACCUCCAGUUCCAUUGCUACUGGAGCCAUUCACCCCAGGGAAAGCCCAGGGCGGGCCCUGGACAGGCACAAUUCAAUGGGAAAGGAAGCAGUACAAACAAGAAGACUGUGUUCUUGGCAGCAGCUGCCUGGAAGAUGGCUGGGACGUGCAGCUAAAUAUCUGGCAGAGAAGAGGGCAUCAAAAACCAACAGGAGAGAAUAAAUGAUGUUCCAGCGGGAUGCUAGAAGUGCCACCCUAGCACAGCCCCGUUCCUGCUUACAGAUGCUUGUGAGCUGCUCCCACCCACGGCACAGGUGAGAGUACGUGCUGUGAGAGGCCAGCCUGCACGCGUGGUGGGAAACUGCACAGCAUGCCACGGCCCAAGCCCUGUUCAGAUAGGGACAACCGCAGCAGGCAGUUGUCCAGGCAGCUUGUGAAACCAGCACCGCAGCAGUUCAGGUCCUUUCCUCCUUUGGAGAGCCUCUCUAUGUUUUUAGGUAGGCUGGAAGGUGUACAAGUUACAGGUGUGCCUGCGAUGUGCUGCAUGGAGAGCAUUCCAGAAAUCCUGCACCAGAGAUUGCGAGCAGAGUGAUUAUCCAUUACUAACUGUAGAGCCUUGAGUUAAGCACGUUCUCCACUUAGGAUCUUCCCAGGGAAAAUAAAGUUUCUGAGACUGAAAAGCAAUGCGUUUAGCAGUCGGAUAGUGAAGGAAGGUGGUAGAUGUCUUUGUGACAGCGUCAGCUAUUUCAGAUAGCUUUAUGUCUGCCUGCUGUCUGCUGGAUGAAACCAUAGACAGUGCGAUAGCAGCUCUGUCUGCAGUUACCACAUUUAGGCUGGAAAAAAAAAUAACCUUUUUGACAUCUAUUGGGUCCGCAGCGUAGAUGGGCCAUUAACCUUGUGCACGCUCCUCAUCCCCUAUAGAUAAUAAUAUUUGACUAAGUCGCAGCAUUGCAGUUAAGCGAUGGCUGUACUUUGCACUGAGCUUCCUGCUCUGGCAUAUCCUCACGAGAAGCGAUUUAGGAUAACAAAGCAGCACGACUUGUUCUUCUGAGUGCACGGGAACAGAACGACAUGGGGGCUGGAACUGGAAGGGAAACGCUCUCCAGGUUUCAAGUUUUCACAUUCCUUGUGAAAAUGGUGGUUUAAAAGACGUGGUAUUCUUCUGCCUAGGCGGCAAAGAGGACCCCUUAAGAACCCAGCUGUGCUCGUACUGUGUGGAAUCCUUCAAACAGCAAAAAAAAGAAAAAGAAAAAGAAAAAAAAGAACACGACAAAGUGAAUGCUGCUUCUGCUUCCACCAUCAAAGGACACUUUCAGACUUCAGGCUACUGCCACUGCUGCUGGUGGAGCCGCAGCAGCACGGAAUGGCUGCAGGCCUGGAAACAGGGAGGGUAGAUUGGAUGCACGUUAUCUUGAGCAAAGGUCCUGCUGCUUUUAAAGAUUAGCA